GCAUUGGUGGUUCAGUGGUAGAACUCUCAACUUGCAUGCAGGAGACCUGGGUUCGAUUCCCGGCCAAUGCA
rnacentral:tRNA from 1 species